rfam:Astyanax mexicanus Tnplaced_Scaffold4636, whole genome shotgun sequence.
GGCUCUGUGGCGCAAUGGAUAGCGCAUUGGACUUCUAGAUGAUAAGAUGGAGCAAUUCAAAGGUUGUGGGUUCGAGUCCCACCAGAGUCG